rnacentral:rRNA from 1 species
AUUGAACGCUAGCGGGAUGCCUUACACAUGCAAGUCGAACGGAGUGGCGAACGGGUGAGUAAUGUAUCGGAACGUGCCCAGUAGCGGGGGAUAACUACGCGAAAGCGUAGCUAAUACCGCAUACUAUUGGAGCGGCCGAUAUCGGAUUAGCUUGUUGGUGGGGUAACGGCUCACCAAGGCGACGAUCCGUAGCUGGGUUGAGAGGACGACCAGCCAACACUGGACUGAGAAAAGGCCCAGACUACCAAGGGAGGGCAGAGUGGGGAAAUUUUGGACAUGGGGGAAAGCCCGAAUCAGCCCACCCGCGGUGGGCAAUAAGGCCUGUGGGUUUGAAAAGACCUUUGGGAAGGAAGCGGUAACCUCAGAAAAAGGACCGGCUAACUACGUGCCAGCAGCCGCGGUAAUAC